ensembl:lncRNA
GUAAGUGUUUCAAAUCUGUUGACACUGUGUAGCUUGACUGUGACAGAUAGCACUAAGUGUAAUACAUGUCAGUUAAAACGUAUCCUUUUUAAUUAAUUUUUACACUGGUAGGAAUACAUAUUUAGUUUGAGUGUCUCUGAAACUUUGCCUGACGAACCCCAAGAGGUUUGGUAUAGGUAGGUAGCCACUGCCUACCGUACAUGUAAGUGUCGAUAGUAUGUCAGAUUAGCUCCAGGCUACUGUCAGAACAUAGUGGCUGGGUGGCUGUCAUAAACUACCAAUGCCCAUACAUUUUGCUGUAUGACACAUGACAACCACUUCACAGGGGAGAAAAGCGUGCCAACACCUCUGUCGUGCACCAGUGUUCUGCAGACGUGGACCAAGGACACAGGGGAUUCGCUCCAGGGGAUUCGCCCGGAACCCAUUGACCAACUUGUGGUCAGGAAACCCAAGGUUUGGGUUAGGUGUUUUAUUUGAGCACAUACAUGGACACAUACCUCCUGAAUGCCAAGUAAAUAUGGCCGAGGGAUACACACACCCCAUUCCAUUUAUUUAUUUCUGUUAAAUGUAUAUAUGUAAAUAUUUUAAUCAAAGAAUUGGAAACGAACAUUCCUGAACAUUUGUUUUAAGGUAACACACUCUG